AGUGAACGCUAGCGGGAGGCUUAACACAUGCAAGUCGAACGGCAGCGCGGAAUUCGGUCUCGCGGCGAGUGGCGGACGGGCGGGCAAUGUAGCGGAACGUGCGCAUUAGCGGUGGAUAAGGACGCGAAAGCGGAGAUAAUACCGCAUACGCCCAACGGGGGAAAGCAGGGGAGCGUAAGAUCUUCCAACAUUGGAGCAGCCGAUAUCGGAUUAGCUAGUUGGUGAGGUAACGGCUCACCAAGGCGACGAUCCGUAGCUGGUUUGAGAGGACGAGCAGCCACACUGGGACUGAGACACGGCCCAGACUCCUACGGGAGGCAGCAGUGGGGAAUUUUGGACAAUGGGCGCAACCCUGAUCCAGCCAUCCCGCGUGGGCGAUGAAGGCCUUCGGGUUGUAAAGCACUUUUGGCAGGAAAGAAACGCAGCAGGCUAAUACCCCGUUGUUCUGACGGUACCUGCAGAAUAAGCACCGGCUAACUUCGUG
rnacentral:rRNA from 1 species